rnacentral:rRNA from 1 species
CUGAAACCGUGUACGUACAAGCAGUGGGAGCCUCUUAAUGGGGUGACUGCGUACCUUUUGUAUAAUGGGUCAGCGACUUAUAUUCUGUAGCAAGGUUAACCGAAUAGGGGAGCCGAAGGGAAACCGAGUCUUAACUGGGCGUUAAGUUGCAGGGUAUAGACCCGAAACCCGGUGAUCUAGCCAUGGGCAGGUUGAAGGUUGGGUAACACUAACUGGAGGACCGAACCGACUAAUGUUGAAAAAUUAGCGGAUGACUUGUGGCUGGGGGUGAAAGGCCAAUCAAACCGGGAGAUAGCUGGUUCUCCCCGAAAGCUAUUUAGGUAGCGCCUCGUGAAUUCAUCUCCGGGGGUAGAGCACUGUUUCGGCAAGGGGGUCAUCCCGACUUACCAACCCGAUGCAAACUGCGAAUACCGGAGAAUGUUAUCACGGGAGACACACGGCGGGUGCUAACGUCCGUCGUGAAGAGGGAAACAACCCAGACCGCCAGCUAAGGUCCCAAAGUCAUGGUUAAGUGGGAAACGAUGUGGGAAGGCCCAGACAGCCAGGAUGUUGGCUUAGAAGCAGCCAUCAUUUAAAGAAAGCGUAAUAGCUCACUGGUCGAGUCGGCCUGCGCGGAAGAUGUAACGGGGCUAAACCAUGCACCGAAGCUGCGGCAGCGACACUAUGUGUUGUUGGGUAGGGGAGCGUUCUGUAAGCCUGUGAAGGUGGCCUGUGAGGGUUGCUGGAGGUAUCAGAAGUGCGAAUGCUGACAUAAGUAACGAUAAAGCGGGUGAAAAGCCCGCUCGCCGGAAGACCAAGGGUUCCUGUCCAACGUUAAUCGGGGCAGGGUGAGUCGACCCCUAAGGCGAGGCCGAAAGGCGUAGUCGAUGGGAAACAGGUUAAUAUUCCUGUACUUGGUGUUACUGCGAAGGGGGGACGGAGAAGGCUAUGUUGGCCGGGCGACGGUUGUCCCGGUUUAAGCGUGUAGGCUGGUUUUCCAGGCAAAUCCGGAAAACCAAGGCUGAGGCGUGAUGACGAGGCACUACGGUGCUGAAGCGACAAAUGCCCUGCUUCCAGGAAAAGCCUCUAAGCAUCAGGUAACAUCAAAUCGUACCCCAAACCGACACAGGUGGUCAGGUAGAGAAUACCAAGGCGCUUGAGAGAACUCGGGUGAAGGAACUAGGCAAAAUGGUGCCGUAACUUCGGGAGAAGGCACGCUGAUAUGUAGGUGAAGCGACUUGCUCGUGGAGCUGAAAUCAGUCGAAGAUACCAGCUGGCUGCAACUGUUUAUUAAAAACACAGCACUGUGCAAACACGAAAGUGGACGUAUACGGUGUGACGCCUGCCCGGUGCCGGAAGGUUAAUUGAUGGGGUUAGCGGUAACGCGAAGCUCUUGAUCGAAGCCCCGGUAAACGGCGGCCGUAACUAUAACGGUCCUAAGGUAGCGAAAUUCCUUGUCGGGUAAGUUCCGACCUGCACGAAUGGCGUAAUGAUGGCCAGGCUGUCUCCACCCGAGACUCAGUGAAAUUGAACUCGCUGUGAAGAUGCAGUGUACCCGCGGCAAGACGGAAAGACCCCGUGAACCUUUACUAUAGCUUGACACUGAACAUUGAGCCUUGAUGUGUAGGAUAGGUGGGAGGCUUUGAAGUGUGGACGCCAGUCUGCAUGGAGCCGACCUUGAAAUACCACCCUUUAAUGUUUGAUGUUCUAACGUUGGCCCGUAAUCCGGGUUGCGGACAGUGUCUGGUGGGUAGUUUGACUGGGGCGGUCUCCUCCUAAAGAGUAACGGAGGAGCACGAAGGUUGGCUAAUCCUGGUCGGACAUCAGGAGGUUAGUGCAAUGGCAUAAGCCAGCUUGACUGCGAGCGUGACGGCGCGAGCAGGUGCGAAAGCAGGUCAUAGUGAUCCGGUGGUUCUGAAUGGAAGGGCCAUCGCUCAACGGAUAAAAGGUACUCCGGGGAUAACAGGCUGAUACCGCCCAAGAGUUCAUAUCGACGGCGGUGUUUGGCACCUCGAUGUCGGCUCAUCACAUCCUGGGGCUGAAGUAGGUCCCAAGGGUAUGGCUGUUCGCCAUUUAAAGUGGUACGCGAGCUGGGUUUAGAACGUCGUGAGACAGUUCGGUCCCUAUCUGCCGUGGGCGCUGGAGAACUGAGGGGGGCUGCUCCUAGUACGAGAGGACCGGAGUGGACGCAUCACUGGUGUUCGGGUUGUCAUGCCAAUGGCACUGCCCGGUAGCUAAAUGCGGAAGAGAUAAGUGCUGAAAGCAUCUAAGCACGAAACUUGCCCCGAGAUGAGUUCUCCCUGAGACUUAGAGUCUCCUGAAGGAACGUUGAAGACGACGACGUUGAUAGGCCGGGUGUGUAAGCGCAGCGAUGCGUUGAGCUAACCGGUACUAAUGAACCGUGAGGCUUAACCUU